rnacentral:rRNA from 1 species
AAACUCUGAUGCAGCGACGCCGCGUGAGUGAUGAAGGACUUCGGUUUGUAAAGCUCUGUUCUCAGGGAAUAAAAAAAUGAAUGUACCUGAGGAGAAAGCACCGGCUAACUUCGUGCCAGCAGCCGCGGUAAUACGAAGGGUGCAAGCGUUGCUCGGAAUCAUUGGGCGUAAAGCGAGCGCGGGUGGUUUUGUAAGUCAGGAGUGAAAGCCCAGGGCUUAACCCUGGAAGUGCUUUUGAUACUGCAAAACUUGAGUGUGGGAGAGGAUGCUAGAAUUCCUGGUGUAGUGGUGAAAUACGUAGAUAUCAGGAGGAACAUCGGUGGCGAAGGCGGGCAUCUGGCCCAACACUGACACUUAGGCUCGAAAGCGUGGGGAUCAAACAGGAUUAGAUACCCUGGUAGUCCACGCCGUAAACGAUGGAUACUUGUUGUUGGAGGUAUUGACCCCUUCAGUGACGAAGCUAACGCGUUAAGUAUCCCGCCUGGGAAGUACGGUCGCAAGAUUA